GAACGCUAGCUACAGGCUUAACACAUGCAAGUCGAGGGGCAGCAUGGUCUUAGCUUGCUAAGGCCGAUGGCGACCGGCGCACGGGUGAGUAACACGUAUCCAACCUGCCGUCUACUCUUGGACAGCCUUCUGAAAGGAAGAUUAAUACAAGAUGGCAUCAUGAGUCCACAUGUUCACAUGAUUAAAGGUAUUCCGGUAGACGAUGGGGAUGCGUUCCAUUAGAUAGUAGGCGGGGUAACGGCCCACCUAGUCUUCGAUGGAUAGGGGUUCUGAGAGGAAGGUCCCCCACAUUGGAACUGAGACACGGUCCAAACUCCUACGGGAGGCAGCAGUGAGGAAUAUUGGUCAAUGGGCGCAGGCCUGAACCAGCCAAGUAGCGUGAAGGAUGACUGCCCUAUGGGUUGUAAACUUCUUUUAUAAAGGAAUAAAGUCGGGUAUGCAUACCCGUUUGCAUGUACUUUAUGAAUAAGGAUCGGCUAACUCCGUGCCAGCAGCCGCGGUAAUACGGAGGAUCCGAGCGUUAUCCGGAUUUAUUGGGUUUAAAGGGAGCGUAGAUGGAUGUUUAAGUCAGUUGUGAAAGUUUGCGGCUCAACCGUAAAAUUGCAGUUGAUACUGGAUAUCUUGAGUGCAGUUGAGGCAGGCGGAAUUCGUGGUGUAGCGGUGAAAUGCUUAGAUAUCACGAAGAACUCCGAUUGCGAAGGCAGCCUGCUAAGCUGCAACUGACAUUGAGGCUCGAAAGUGUGGGUAUCAAACAGGAUUAGAUACCCUGGUAGUCCACACGGUAAACGAUGAAUACUCGCUGUUUGCGAUAUACAGCAAGCGGCCAAGCGAAAGCGUUAAGUAUUCCACCUGGGGAGUACGCCGGCAACGGUGAAACUCAAAGGAAUUGACGGGGGCCCGCACAAGCGGAGGAACAUGUGGUUUAAUUCGAUGAUACGCGAGGAACCUUACCCGGGCUUAAAUUGCAGAUGAAUUACGGUGAAAGCCGUAAGCCGCAAGGCAUCUGUGAAGGUGCUGCAUGGUUGUCGUCAGCUCGUGCCGUGAGGUGUCGGCCUAAGUGCCAUAACGAGCGCAACCCUUGUUGUCAGUUACUAACAGGUUCCGCUGAGGACUCUGACAAGACUGCCAUCGUAAGAUGUGAGGAAGGUGGGGAUGACGUCAAAUCAGCACGGCCCUUACGUCCGGGGCUACACACGUGUUACAAUGGGGGGUACAGAGGGCCGCUACCACGCGAGUGGAUGCCAAUCCCAAAAACCUCUCUCAGUUCGGACUGGAGUCUGCAACCCGACUCCACGAAGCUGGAUUCGCUAGUAAUCGCGCAUCAGCCACGGCGCGGUGAAUACGUUCCCGGGCCUUGUACACACCGCCCGUCAAGCCAUGGGAGCCGGGGGGUACCUGAAGUGCGUAACCGCGAGGAGCGCCCUAGGGUAAAACUGGUGACUGGGGCU
rnacentral:rRNA from 1 species